rnacentral:ncRNA from 1 species
ACCACUCAGCUUGGUAUCAUCUGCAAACUUAGACUGUCGUGAGACAUGUUAGUUUUACCCUACUGAUGAUGUGUUGUUGCAAUAGUAAUCCUGCUCAGUACGAGAGGAACCGCAGGUUCAGACCCCUGGUGCGUGCGCUUGGCUGAGUAGCCACUGGUGCGAGGCUACCAUCUGCGGGCUUAUGACUGAACCCUUAGAGGAGUUCUGUACCUAAGGUAAUAUGUCUUUGUGUCUAUAGACAGGCUCAGGUUCCUUCAUCAAUUAAUUCAUGAAGGUUAGGUUCUGAGAUGUAUUUCUGGAAACUAGAUUUGCAGGGAGGCCUCAUAGAACUAUGCUCAUGAAUCUGAAUUAUGAAUCUGAACGUUGCUUACGUACGAGGAGAUAAGAAAAAAGUGUGCAUCACCCAUAUAACUUGGAAAUAUUUGCUGAUCUGCUGUGUUGAUAUUCUCAGGGAUGAUGAACAAACUUUUUUCUUUUUAUUUUUUU